CCUACGGGUGGCUGCAGUGGGGAAUCUUGCACAAUGGGGGAAACCCUGAUGCAGCAACGCCGCGUGAGUGAUGACGGCCUUCGGGUUGUAAAGCUCUGUCUUCAGGGACGAUAAUGACGGUACCUGAGGAGGAAGCCACGGCUAACUACUUGCCAGCAGCCGCGGUAAUACGUAGGUCGCGCGCGUUGUCCGGGUUUACUGGGCGUAAAGGGAGCGUAGGCGGACUUUUAAGUGAGAUGUGAAAGACUCGGGCUCAACUUGAGUGCUGCAUUUCAAACUGGAAGACUAGAGUGCAGGAGAGGAGAAUGGAAGUCCAAGUGUAGCGGUGAAAUGCGUAGAGAUUAGGAAGAACACCAGUGGCGAAGGUGAUUCUCUGGACUGUAACUGACGCUGAGGCUCGAAAGCAUGGGGAGCGAACAGGAUUAGAUACCCCAGUAGUC
rnacentral:rRNA from 1 species